rnacentral:rRNA from 1 species
CGAAAGAGAAGCGAAGCGGUGACGUGGAGCAAACCUCAGAAAGCCAAUCUCAGUUCGGAUUGUAGGCUGCAACCCGCCUACACGAAGUUGGAAUCGCUAGUAAUCGCGAAUCAGAAUGUCGCGGUGAAUACGUUCCCGGGUCUUGUACACACCGCCCGUCACACCACGAGAGUUUACAACACCCGAAGUCAGUGGCCUAACCGCAAGGAGGGAGCUGCCUAAGGUGGGGUAGAUGAUUGGGGUGAAGUCGUAACAAGGUAUC